AGUUGUGGCGGCGGCGCGGAGCGGCGGCGCUGGAGCCGGAGCCAGGCGUGCAGGGUGCAGGGCGGCCCCUCGCCCUGCCCCGGGCGCAUGGGCCGCCGGCCCGCAGGAGGAGCAGCGCCCAGAGCCGCCCGCCUCACAGCUGCAGCCCUAGCAGGUAUUUGUUUGAAUACAUAGAAGAAGAUGACAAGUGUGCAUGGAUGGUUUUACAUAAUUAACACCUGCUAGAUUUGCAAAAGGCAAUUAUCACUGCGAAGUGUUUACAUUGAUUUAUGGGAGGAAGGUGGCCCAUGAGAGGGAUGCUGAUAUUAUCAACACAGUGGAUUAAAUGCACAUUUGCACCUUUAUUGACAUAUAAAUUAUCUGUGCCAAGAAUGCACUGAAAAGGCUGCUGAUGGAGCAAUAAUGUGGCACAAACUACUGGGUUUGGAUUCAGUUCUAUCAUCCUUCUGUAAGGCACAUACUUCGAAACCUUCAUCUGAACUACUAUAGGAUAUAGAGGCUUACGGAAUGGCUGCUUGUUAAGAUAAUGAGCUGUGAUGGCAAACAGGAAUUUAGAAGGAUGAUAAAAGACAAUGGAUGAGGUUUGAAGGAAUUAUUUCAUCUUUUUUUUAAAUUAUUUUUGGAUUUUUGUUGUUUAUACUAUGGAUUUUUAGAGAAAGCUUAAAGAGACUGGAAGAGUGUUUGUAGCAGGGAAAUGGAACCUGGCUCUGAAUCCAGCCAACAUCAGAAAAGAAAGACUGUGACACAUGGACUGGAAGAUCAAAAAAGGCAUUAAAGGGAGAUGGAGCCAAUGUACAUACCUCAACCUUUCUCCAACUGCGCAAGAGUCUUCUGCAGCUUCUGAUGGGAACCAAACGCAUUUCUGGGAGACUGAGAGGCUCCUGCAACAUUCCCAUGGAAGUAAAAGUCAGUGAAAGGAUGGACAUCAAUUUUUGUG
rnacentral:lncRNA from 1 species